rnacentral:lncRNA from 1 species
AAAGGCGGAAUCGAUAACGAGCUGCAGCGCCGGGUGCAGAGGACGCGGGCAUCCCGAAGCCCAGGAAGAGAGACAGGGUCUCACCAUGUAGGCCAGAUUAGUCUUGAACUCCUGGGCUCAAGCAAUCCGCCCAUCUUGGCCUCCCAAAGUGCUGGGAUUAUAGGUGUGAGCCACCGCGCCCGGCAACCCAGAAGUGGUUUUGACAGCACCAGCGCUUUCUGUGUCCACAAUCUACUCCCAACUAGAGGUCCACCCAGGACCCAGAGACCUGGAUUUGAGGCUGCUGGGCGGCAGAUGGAGCGAUCAGAAGACCAGGAGACGGGAGCUGGAGUGCAGUGGCUGUUCACAAGCGUGAAAGCAAAGAUUAAAAAAUUUGUUUUUAUAUUAAAAA